rnacentral:rRNA from 1 species
AUUGAACGCUGGCGGCAGGCCUAACACAUGCAAGUCGAACGAGUGGCGGACGGGGGAGUAAUGUCUGGGAAACGGACUGAGGGAGGGGGAUAAAUAAUGGAAACGGUAGCUAAUACCGCCUACCAUCGGAUGUGCCCAAAUGGGAUUAGCUAGUAGGUGGGGUAAAGGCUCACCUAGGCGACGGUCCCUAGCUGGUCUGAGAGGAUGACCAGCCACACUGGAACUGAGACACGGUCCAGACUCCUACGGGAGGCAGCAGUGGGGAAUAUUGCACAAUGGGCGCAAGCCUGAUGCAGCCAUGCCGCGUGUAUGAAGAAGGCCUUCGGGUUGUAAAGUACUUUCAGCGGGGAGGCGUUACCCGCAGAAGAAGCACCGGCUAACUCCGUGCCAGCAGCCGCGGUAAUAC